UGAAUACGAGACGCUAAGGCGUCGAAGUAGUGUAUGUCAUACUUCCAAGAAAAGCUUGCACUGUCAUAGAUAAAAAACGCCUGUACCAUAACCGACACAGGUGGGUAGGUAGAGUAUACUAAGGGGCGCGAGAUAACUCUCUCUAAGGAACUCGGCAAAAUAACUCCGUAACUUCGGGAGAAGGAGUGCCUUAUUCGUAAGGUUGCAAUAACAAGAUCCAAGCAACUGUUUAUCAAAAACACAGGUCUCCGCUAAGUCGUAAGACGAUGUAUGGGGGCUGACGCCUGCCCAGUGCCAGAAGGUUAAAGAAGUUGGUUAGCAAUUGCGAAGCUGAUAACUGAAGCCCUGGUGAACGGCGGCCGUAACCAUAACGGUCCUAAGGUAGCGAAAUUCCUUGUCGGGUAAGUUCCGACCCGCACGAAAGGCGUAAUGAUUUGGAUACUGUCUCGGAGAGGGGCUCGGUGAAAUAGACUUGUCUGUGAAGAUGCGGACUACCUGCACCAGGACAGAAAGACCCUAUGAAGCUUUACUGUAACUUGAAAUUGAAAUUGGACUUUAUUCGCGCAGUAUAGGUGGGAGGCGUUGAUUAUAAUCUUGUGGGAUUAUUGGAGCCAUCAGUGAGAUACCACUCUUGUAAUGUUAGAUUUCUAACUUUGAAUCAUUAUCUGGUCAAAGAACAGUUUCAGGCGGGCAGUUUGACUGGGGCGGUCGCCUCCUAAACGGUAACGGAGGCGUACAAAGGUUUCCUCUGAACGGUUAGAAAUCGUAUCUAGAGUGUAAAGGCAUAAGGAAGCUUGACUGUGAGACCUACAAGUCGAGCAGGGACGAAAGUCGGUCUUAGUGAUCUGACGGUACUGAGUGGAAAGGCCGUCACUCAACGGAUAAAAGUUACUCUAGGAUAACAGGCUGAUCUCCCCCAAGAGUUCACAUCGACGGGGAGGUUUGGCACCUCGAUGUCGGCUCAUCGCAUCCUGGAGCGGUAGUACGUCCCAAGGGUUGGGCUGUUCGCCCAUGAAAGCGGUACGCGAGCUGGGUUCAGAACGUCGUGAGACAGUUCGGUCCAUAUCCGGUGUAGGCGUUAGAAUAUUGAGAGGAGCCUUCUUUAGUACGAGAGGACCGAGAAGGACAUACCUCUGGUGUACCAGUUAUCGUGCCAACGGUAAACGCUGGGUAGCUAUGUAUGGAGUGGAUAACCGCUGAAAGCAUCUAAGUGGGAAGCCCACCUCAAGAUAAG
rnacentral:rRNA from 1 species